rnacentral:rRNA from 2 species
CUUGACCUCAAAUCAAUACCAUACC